GACGAACGCUGGCGGCGUGCUUAACACAUGCAAGUCGAACGGGCCUUGUCCCCUUUUUUUUGGGGGUGGGGUUAGUGGCGAACGGGUGAGUAACACGUGAGUAACCUGCCCCUCACUUCUGGAUAACCGCUUGAAAGGGUGGCUAAUACGGGGUGUUCUGGCCUGCUCGCAUGGGUGGGUUUGGAAAGAUUCGACCGGUUUUGGUUGUUUUGGUGGGGGAUGGGCUCGCGGCCUAUCAGCUUGUUGGUGGGGUGAUGGCCUGCCAAGGCUUUGACGGGUAGCCGGCCUGAGAGGGUGGGCGGUUACACUGGGACUGAGACACGGCCCAGACUCCUACGGGAGGCAGCAGUGGGGAAUAUUGCACAAGGGGCGCAAGCCUGAUGCAGCGACGCCGCGUGAGGGAUGGAGGCCUUCGGGUUGUGAACCUCUUUCGCCAGUGAAGAAGGUCCUGCUCUUUGUGGUGGGGUUGACGGUAGCUGGGUUAAUGAAGCGCCGGCUAACUACGUG
rnacentral:rRNA from 1 species